CGAGUCCUCCGAUGCGACACAACAUCCUGCAGCGAUGUUGUGUGACCUGCAGUGUCCGUCUCUGGGCUCG
rfam:Aspergillus ruber CBS 135680 unplaced genomic scaffold scaffold00022, whole genome shotgun sequence.